GUAGGUGGCAAGCAUUGUCCCGGAAUUAUUGGGCGUAAAGCGCGCGCAGGGCGGUCCUUUAAGUCUGAUGUGAAAGCCCACGGCUCAACCGUGGAGGGUCAUUGGAAACUGGGGGACUUGAGUACAGAAGAGGAAAGCGGAAUUCCAAGUGUAGCGGUGAAAUGCGUAGAGAUUUGGAGGAACACCAGUGGCGAAGGCGGCUUUCUGGUCUGUAACUGACGCUGAGGCGCGAAAGCGUGGGGAGCAAACAGGAUUAGAUACCCUGGUAGUCCACGCCGUAAACGAUGAGUGCUAAGUGUUAGGGGGUUUCCGCCCCUUAGUGCUGCAGCUAACGCAUUAAGCACUCCGCCUGGGGAGUACGGCCGCAAGGCUG
rnacentral:rRNA from 1 species